rnacentral:rRNA from 1 species
GUACGGGAGGCAGCAGUGGGGAAUCUUCCGCAAUGGGCGAAAGCCUGACGGAGCAACGCCGCGUGAGGGAAGAAGGCCUUCGGGUUGUAAACCUCUGUUUUCAGGGACGAACAAAUGACGGUACCUGAAGAGUAAGCCCCGGCUAACUACGUGCCAGCAGCCGCGGUAAUACGUAGGGGGCGAGCGUUGUCCGGAAUUACUGGGCGUAAAGGGCGCGUAGGUGGUUCAUUAAGUUAGAGGUGAAAGUUCGGGGCUCAACCCCGUGAGGCCUCUGAUACUGGUGGACUUGAGUGCAGGAGAGGGGAGCAGAAUUCCCAGUGUAGCGGUGAAAUGCGUAGAUAUUGGGAGGAAUACCAGUGGCGAAGGCGGCUCUCUGGACUGUAACUGACACUGAGGCGCGAAAGCGUGGGGAGCAAACAGGAUUAGAUACCCCGGUAGC